ACUGGUCGAGUCGGCCUGCGCGGAAGAUGUAACGGGGCUAAACCAUGCACCGAAGCUGCGGCAGCGACACUAUGUGUUGGUGGGUAGGGGAGCGUUCUGUAAGCCUGCGAAGGUGUGCUGUGAGGCAUGCUGGAGGUAUCAGAAGUGCGAAUGCUGACAUAAGUAACGAUAAAGCGGUUGAAAAGCCCGCUCGCCGGAAGACCAAGGGUUCCUGUCCAACGUUAAUCGGGGCAGGGUGAGUCGACCACUAAGGCGAGGCCGAAAGGCGUAGUCGAUGGGAAACAGGUUAAUAUUCCUGUACUUGGUGUUACUGCGAAGGGGGGACGGAGAAGGCUAUGUUAGCCGG
rnacentral:rRNA from 1 species